rnacentral:rRNA from 1 species
UCGAUUGAGUUUGAUCAUGGCUCAGGACGAACGCUGGCGGCGUGCUUAACACAUGCAAGUCGAGCGGUAAGGCCCUUUUGGGGGUACACGAGCGGCGAACGGGUGAGUAACACGUGGGUGACCUGCCUUCAGCUCUGGGAUAAGCUUGGGAAACUGGGUCUAAUACCGGAUAUGACUGUCUGCCGCAUGGUGGGUGGUGGAAAGUUCUUGGGCUUUGGUCUGGGUUCGGCUGGGGAUGGGCCUGCGGCCUAUCAGCUUGUUGGUGGGGUGAUGGCCUACCAAGGCGACGACGGGUAGCCGGCCUGAGAGGGCGACCGGCCACACUGGGACUGAGACACGGCCCAGACUCCCACGGGAGGCAGCAGUGGGGAAUAUUGCGCAAUGGGCGGAAGCCUGACGCAGCGACGCCGCGUGGGGGAUGACGGCCUUCGGGUUGUAAACCUCUUUCGCCAUCGACGAAGGUUCUGUGGUUGUGAGGCUGCAGGGUUGACGGUAGGUGGAGAAGAAGCACCGGCCAACUACGUGCCAGCAGCCGCGGUAAUACGUAGGGUGCGAGCGUUGUCCGGAAUUAUUGGGCGUAAAGAGCUCGUAGGCGGUGUGUCGCGUCGGCCGUGAAAACCUGCAGCUUAACUGUGGGCGUGCGGUCGAUACGGGCAUCACUGGAGUUCGGCAGGGGAGACUGNAAUUCCUG